UACGUAGGGAGCAAGCGUUGUCCGGAAUCAUUGGGCGUAAAGCGCGCGUAGGUGGCCCCAUAAGUCCGCUGUGAAAGUCAAAGGCUCAACCUUUGAAAGCCGGUGGAUACUGUGGGACUAGAGUACGGAAGAGGCGAGUGGAAUUCCUGGUGUAGCGGUGGAAUGCGCAGAUAUCAGGAGGAACACCAAUAGCGAAGGCGGCUCGCUGGGACGUUACUGACACUGAGGCGCGAAAGCGUGGGGAGCGAACAGG
rnacentral:rRNA from 1 species